rnacentral:rRNA from 1 species
UACGUAGGCAGCAAGCGUUGUUCGGAGUUACUGGGCGUAAAGGGUGCGUAGGCGGCCCUGUAGGUAUGGUGUGAAAUCUCCCGGCUUAACUGGGAGGGUGCGCUAUAGACUGCGGGGCUCGAGUGUGGGAGAGGAAAGUGGAAUUCCUGGUGUAGCGGUGAAAUGCGUAGAUAUCAGGAGGAACACCGGUGGUGUAAACGGCUUUCUGGACCAUAACUGACGCUGAGGCACGAAAGCGUGGGUAGCAAACAGG